rnacentral:rRNA from 1 species
CCUACGGGCGGCAGCAGUGAGGAAUAUUGGUCAAUGGACGAGAGUCUGAACCAGCCAAGUAGCGUGAAGGAUGACUGCCCUAUGGGUUGUAAACUUCUUUUAUAAAGGAAUAAAACGAGGCACGUGUGCCUUGUUGCAUGUACUUUAUGAAUAAGGAUCGGCUAACUCCGUGCCAGCAGCCGCGGUAAUACGGAGGAUCCGAGCGUUAUCCGGAUUUAUUGGGUUUAAAGGGAGCGUAGAUGGGUUGUUAAGUCAGUUGUGAAAGUUUGCGGCUCAACCGUAAAAUUGCAAUUGAUACUGGCAGUCUUGAGUACAGUUGAGGUAGGCGGAAUUCGUGGUGUAGCGGUGAAAUGCUUAGAUAUCACGAAGAACCCCGAUUGCGAAGGCAGCUUACUAAACUGUGACUGACAUUGAUGCUCGAGAGUGUGGGUAUCAAACAGGAUUAGAUACCCUUGUAGUC